GUGCCAGCCGCCGCGGUAAUACGUAGGUGGCAAGCGUUGUCCGGAUUUAUUGGGCGUAAAGCGAGCGCAGGCGGUUUCUUAAGUCUGAUGUGAAAGCCCCCGGCUCAACCGGGGAGGGUCAUUGGAAACUGGGAGACUUGAGUGCAGAAGAGGAGAGUGGAAUUCCAUGUGUAGCGGUGAAAUGCGUAGAUAUAUGGAGGAACACCAGUGGCGAAGGCGGCUCUCUGGUCUGUAACUGACGCUGAGGCUCGAAAGCGUGGGGAGCGAACAGGAUUAGAUACCCUGGUAGUCCACGCCGUAAACGAUGAGUGCUAAGUGUUGGAGGGUUUCCGCCCUUCAGUGCUGCAGCAAACGCAUUAAGCACUCCGCCUGGGGAGUACGACCGCAAGGUUGAAACUCAAAGGAAUUGACGGGGGCCCGCACAAGCGGUGGAGCAUGUGGUUUAAUUCGAAGCAACGCGAAGAACCUUACCAGGUCUUGACAUCCUUUGACCACUCUAGAGAUAGAGCUUCCCCUUCGGGGGCAAAGUGACAGGUGGUGCAUGGUUGUCGUCAGCUCGUGUCGUGAGAUGUUGGGUUAAGUCCCGCAACGAGCGCAACCCUUAUUGUUAGUUGCCAUCAUUUAGUUGGGCACUCUAGCGAGACUGCCGGUGACAAACCGGAGGAAGGUGGGGAUGACGUCAAAUCAUCAUGCCCCUUAUGACCUGGGCUACACACGUGCUACAAUGGGAAGUACAACG
rnacentral:rRNA from 1 species